GGGUGGUCCUUGUGGCUUUCCUGGAGGUGGGGGACCUUGAGGUUUCUUGUCUCCUUGUUGGGGUGGUCCUUGUGGCUUUCCUGGAGGUGGGGGACCUUGAGGUUUCUUGCCUCCUUGUUGGGGUGGUCCUUGUGGCCCUCCUGAAGGUGGGGGACCUUGAGGUUUGUUGCCUCCUUGCUGGGGUUGUCCUUGUUGAUGUUCUGGAG